AGGACAGGUGCUGCAUGGCUGUCGUCAGCUCGUGUUGUGAAAUGUUGGGUUAAGUCCCGCAACGAGCGCAACCCUUAUCCUUUGUUGCCAGCGAUUCGGUCGGGAACUCAAAGGAGACUGCCAGUGAUAAACUGGAGGAAGGUGGGGAUGACGUCAAGUCAUCAUGGCCCUUACGAGUAGGGCUACACACGUGCUACAAUGGCGCAUACAAAGAGAAGCGACCUCGCGAGAGCAAGCGGACCUCAUAAAGUGCGUCGUAGUCCGGAUUGGAGUCUGCAACUCGACUCCAUGAAGUCGGAAUCGCUAGUAAUCGUAGAUCAGAAUGCUACGGUGAAUACGUUCCCGGGCCUUGUACACACCGCCCGUCACACCAUGGGAGUGGGUUGCAAAAGAAGUAGGUAGCUUAACUUUCGGGAGGGCGCUUACCACUUUGUGAUUCAUGACUGGGGUGAAGUCGUAACAAGGUAAGCGUAGUGCU
rnacentral:rRNA from 1 species